rnacentral:rRNA from 1 species
GUGCCAGCAGCCGCGGUAAUACGUAGGGCGCGAGCGUUGUCCGGAAUUAUUGGGCGUAAAGAGCUCGUAGGCGGCUGGUUGCGUCUGCUGUGAAAUCCCGGGGCUUAACCCCGGGCGUGCAGUGGAUACGGGCCGGCUGGAGGCAGGCAGGGGAGAAUGGAAUUCCCGGUGUAGCGGUGAAAUGCGCAGAUAUCGGGAGGAACACCGGUGGCGAAGGCGGUUCUCUGGGCCUGUACUGACGCUGAGGAGCGAAAGCGUGGGGAGCGAACAGGAUUAGAUACCCUGGUAGUCC